UGGCUCAGUUGGUAGAGCAUGGUGUUUGCAACGCCAGGGUUGUGGGUUCAAUUCCCAC
rfam:Salmo salar isolate Sally breed double haploid chromosome ssa21, whole genome shotgun sequence.